AUUAAAGAAAGCACAGAAGGGCCAAGAUGAGAAAGAGUGUCAUGCUUAGGUUGCUGAAUGCCUGAAGAAGUGCCAUAAAAUCAAUGGAAAGAUAUUUCCAAAUGAUGUGCCUGCUAUCUCUAAAGAAACAACAGAAACAUGUGGUGCUCUUUGGGACAUCUUUCGGAGGGAGGAUACUGAAAAGUUAGAAGCAUAUCUACGAAAACAUUCUAAAGAAUUUAGAUAUCUCAUGAUUAAUUUUAUGUGUUGCAUCAAACCGAAGGCUACCAUCAUGUAACCAUGGAUCUUUCAAUUGCUUGUAUUGUUUAGCUACAGGGAGGCAAAACAAGCAUUUGCAUUACUUAAAUAGCAAUGUUAGCUUGCCUUCAACUUCACUGACCUACUUAAAUAUCACAAUUGAACAUUAAACUAACAUGAAUUACAAUCUAGUAAAGGUACUUCCUCCUGCAUGGCUGCAUUACAUAUAUAAGGGCUGGGCAAGUAGCUGCUCUUGCAAUGACAAUGUAACAUGAUUAGAGAGACAUGGAACCAAAAAAGAAAGAAAGAAAGAAUUAACCCAAAACAGAAAACAACAGACCUGGUUACAAGGGAAAAUGUCAGCAAUGAGCUUCUUGUACCUCUUGACAGGUUGUCUUGACCUUGCUCUCAAGGAAGGGCAAAAGAAACAAAGAUUGCCACAAGCAGGCAGAACUUGACGGGAAACAAAUAAAGCGCAGCAAAGGAAGAGGUUGUCCAUCCAAUUCAUGACCAAUGUUUUUAUUUGACUUUGGAGCACAAGAAGAAGCUGAAGGAAGAAUUUGGUGUAGAACCUUGGACGUUUGAGCAGAAACUUGAGAGGCAGUAUUUAUUCCUGCUGGAUGUCCACACUAAGUUAGGAAUCUCAAGUCAUGCACUAAAGUUGCUUCAGAUUUUGUGUCUCCUGAGAAUAUUCAUAUGUGCUUGCGAUUAAAGGAUGAAUUUCGUCGUCUUCCUAGGAAUCACAAGGCGAGGGAAGAUAAGCUAGAGAUAAAGAAGAUGAUCGUGCAUGCUGUAGAUCAAAUAGUCAAGGAAUUAGAAGCAUUGGUGGAGUGUUCUUGAGACUGGCCUAUAUGCUGCUUCCAUAUCUGCUAUGAUUUUUUUAACCUCAUAGUUCAGAUUUUUAUUCAGAUAGAAAAUUUUGUGUUGGGUAAUUUUUCAUUGGAGGCUUAAUUUGAUUUUUUUUCCUUGUUAUUCAAUCAUGUAUAUGUAUACAUACACAAAUAAAUAAUUUUCUCUCCAUCUUCCUGCAUUUGUAUUGCCC